CAGUAGCGCAUUGCCCACACGAACUCUUUAGUGGCCGUACGACCGAGCAGCAAAUACCCAUCUUUCACCUCAAACCUAUUUCUGGUGCGGUGGUAGCCACCAGUACUGGUGAAAGAUGCAUUCCUGACCGUUGCGAUGUUGGUUGGUUUCCUCUGGACAUAGCGAGUUUCUGUUUCUUCACAGUUGCAAUGGUAGGUUAUUGAGUUUGCCGGACAAAAGCAACUGAACAUGAAUCUCGCAAACAGUUCCUAGUCGUGCGUAAUACCAAUUCAUGAACUAUUUACAAUUCAUCCCAAAAGUGGUGAAUCGCAGAGUGCAAUGGAAAUGCAAUUUUCCACCAGAUUGGAUUGAUUCUGAGAACUCCCCGAGCACCACCCUUGUACGUAUGCUCCAGAGACGGAAAAGUGACAGGAAGGCUAACUCGAGGAAUGUUGAAAUGAACUAAAAAGUCCAGUCCAGAAAAAGCAGCAAUACUUUCCUGUCCGUUGUAUCCCUUUCAAGUCUACAAUGUUGAUAUAACAACUACGGUACAGUGCUUCAAAAGGAGCAGAACUAUCCAUUAGGAGAAAGUUGUUGGUGGCGCCUUAGUUUACUGCGAAAUUGUUUGAUCGUGUGGGACUGUCUACUGCCGGAGCAGGAGAAGCAGAUUUCUUCAGCAAACAACGUGGAGGUGAUUUCAAACAAACAAAAUAAUUGAAUUACGUUCCCAGUGCUCCGGUUACUUUGCUAAAUGUGAUGUGUUUCUAUCUUACAGCAUAGCUGACAAUCGACUUUUAGCUAUGGUUGGCAUGCAAAUAAAAAAAUGAAGUUGACGAAA